UGGGGAAUUUUGGACAAUGGGCGCAAGCCUGAUCCAGCCAUGCCGCGUGCGGGAAGAAGGCCUUCGGGUUGUAAACCGCUUUUGUCAGGGAAGAAACGCUCUGGGCUAAUACCCUGGGGUAAUGACGGUACCUGAAGAAUAAGCACCGGCUAACUACGUGCCAGCAGCCGCGGUAAUACGUAGGGUGCAAGCGUUAAUCGGAAUUACUGGGCGUAAAGCGUGCGCAGGCGGUUAUGCAAGACAGAUGUGAAAUCCCCGGGCUCAACCUGGGAACUGCAUUUGUGACUGUAUAGCUAGAGUACGGUAGAGGGGGAUGGAAUUCCGCGUGUAGCAGUGAAAUGCGUAGAUAUGCGGAGGAACACCGAUGGCGAAGGCAAUCCCCUGGACCUGUACUGACGCUCAUGCACGAAAGCGUGGGGAGCAAACAGGAUUAGAUACCCCUGUAGUCCCUGAGCGGGCUGGCAAGGCGCAU
rnacentral:rRNA from 1 species